rnacentral:rRNA from 1 species
GACGAACGCUGGCGGCGUGCUUAACACAUGCAAGUCGAACGGUAAGGCCCUUCGGGGUACACGAGUGGCGAACGGGUGAGUAACACGUGGGUGAUCUGCCCUGCACUUCGGGAUAAGCCUGGGCAACUGGGUCCAAUACCGGAUAGGACCACUGCCUGCAUGGGUGGUGGUGGAAAGCUUUUGCGGUGUGGGAUGGGCCCGCGGCCUAUCAGCUGGUUGGUGGGGUGAUGGCCUACCAAGGCGACGACGGGUAGCCGUCCUGCGGGGGUGACCGGCCACACUGGGCCGGAGAUGCGGCCAAGACUCCUACGGGAGGCAGCAGCGGGGAAUGUUGGACAAUGGGCGCAAGCCUGAUGCAGCGACGCCGCGUGAGGGAUGGCGGCCUUCGGGUUGUAAACCUGUUUCAGCACCGACGAAGCGCAAGUGACGGUAGGUGCAGAAGAAGGACCGGCCAACUACGUGCCAGCGGCCGCAGUAA